rnacentral:rRNA from 1 species
GAUGAACGCUGGCGGCGUGCCUAACACAUGCAAGUCGAGCGAACGGACGAGAAGUUUGCUUUUCUGAUGUUAGCGGCGGACGGGUGAGUAACACGUGGAUAACCUACCUAUAAGUCUGGGAAAACUUCGGGAAACCGGAGCUAACACCGGAUAAUAUCCUGAACCGCAUGGUUCAAAGGUGAAAGACGGUCUUGCUGUCUCUUAUAGAUGGAUCUGGGCUGCAUUAGCUAGUUGGGAAGGUCACGGCUUACCAAGGCAAGGAUGCGUAGCCGACCUGAGAGGGUGAUCGGCCACACGGGAGCUGAGACACGGACCAGACGCCUACGGGAGGCAGCAGUAGGGAAUCUUCCGCAAUGGGCGAAAGCCUGACGGAGCAACGCCGCGUGAGUGAUGAAGGUCUUCGGAUCGUAAAGCUCUGUUAUGGGGGAAGAACAUAUGUGUAAGUAACUGUGCACAGCUUGACGGUACCUGAUCAGAAAGCCACGGCUAACUACGUG